rnacentral:rRNA from 1 species
UGCGUAGGCGGAAUGAUAAGUUAGUGGUGAAAGCCCCCGGCUCAACCGGGGAACUGCCAUUAAUACUGUCAUUCUUGAGUAUAGUUGAAGUGGGCGGAAUGUAUCAUGUAGCGGUGAAAUGCUUAGAUAUGAUACAGAACACCAAUAGCGUAGGCAGCUUGCUAAACUAUAACUGACGCUCAGGCACGAAAGCGUGGGGAGCAAACAGGAUUAGAUACCCUGGUAGUCC